GCGUAGGGUACGUAGGCUGUGAAAAAAGGAUAAAAUUAAAUACCGGGUAAUCAUCCUUUAUGUUUUAUUGUUAUUUCACUUGAAUUUAGAUAGGACGAUGGAAUCAUUAUGGAAUGGUGAUAUGUAAAUAUGAUGAGGAACGACAGUGGUGAAAGCAAUUUUCCUUUAAGUAUUGACGUAAUGUACGAAAGCAUGGGGAUAAAGAGGAUUAGAGACCUCGUAGUCCAUCGCUGUCAACGCUGAAUGUUCAACGUAGGGAGUACUUGCAUAUUUUAAUUUCGAUGGCAAUAUGACGGAAUCUUGGUGUUCUAGUAACGCGUUAAACAUUCCGCCUGGGAAGUACGGUCGCAAGGUGAAACUCAAAAGAAUUGACGGUGACUUGGACAGGG
rnacentral:rRNA from 1 species